rnacentral:rRNA from 1 species
GUGGGGAAUAUUGGGCAAUGGGGGAAACCCUGACCCAGCGACGCCGCGUGAGGGAAGACGGCCUUCGGGUUGUAAACCUCUUUUGUAUGGGAAGAAGGAAGUGACGGUACUGUACGAAUAAGUCCCGGCUAACUACGUGCCAGCAGCCGCGGUAAUACGUAGGGGACGAGCGUUGUCCGGAAUUACUGGGCGUAAAGGGCGCGCAGGCUGUGCUGCAAGUCAGCUGUGAAAUGUCUGGGCUUAACCCGGGCAUGCGGUUGAGACUGCAGUGCUGGAGUGCUGUAGAGGCAAGUGGAAUUCCCAGUGUAGCGGUGAAAUGCGUAGAUAUUGGGAAGAACACCGGUGGCGAAGGCGACUUGCUGGGCAGCAACUGACGCUGAGGCGCGAAAGCCAGGGGAGCAAACGGGAUUAGAAACCCUUGUAGUCC